UUCCGUAGGUGAUUAACAAACUGAGAUUAACGUUUCGUCGGUUUGCCUACGACAGCUGGUAAAUCAGCUAGCUACGUCGCGUAGCAAUGCUACCAAACUGCGGGAAAGCUUUGAUAAGAGCUGAGUCUUAGUGGCUUAGCUCAGAAGCAAUCCGCACCUCUGUUAAUCACAGAGCCCAUCGACUAGAUGGUAGCGGGCGAUCACGAUCGUCUAAGGUAUAGUCAGGCCGUCGCUUAGCGACGAUCAAGCUGGAACCUGCGGAAGGAUCAAUA
rnacentral:rRNA from 1 species